rnacentral:rRNA from 1 species
GACGAACGCUGGCGGCGUGCCUAAUACAUGCAAGUAGAACGCUGAAGGAGGAGCUUGCUUCUCUGGAUGAGUUGCGAACGGGUGAGUAACGCGUAGGUAACCUGCCUGGUAGCGGGGGAUAUCUAUUGGAAACGAUAGCUAAUACCGCAUAAGAGUAGAUGUUGCAUGACAUUUGCUUAAAAGGUGCAAUUGCAUCACUACCAGAUGGACCUGCGUUGUAUUAGCUAGUUGGUGAGGUAACGGCUCACCAAGGCGACGAUACAUAGCCGACCUGAGAGGGUGAUCGGCCAAACUGGGACUGAGACACGGCCCAGACUCCUACGGGAGGCAGCAGUAGGGAAUCUUCGGCAAUGGACGGAAGUCUGACCGAGCAACGCCGCGUGAGUGAAGAAGGUUUUCGGAUCGUAAAGCUCUGUUGUAAGAGAAGAACGAGUGUGAGAGUGGAAAGUUCACACUGUGACGGUAUCUUACCAGAAAGGGACGGCUAACUACGUG